GACGAACGCUGGCGGCGUGCUUAACACAUGCAAGUCGAACGGAGUGGCGAACGGGUGAGUAACACGUGGGUGAUCUGCCUUGCACUCUGGGAUAAGCUUGGGAAACUGGGUCUAAUACCGGAUAGUGCAAGAUGAGCUCGCGGCCUAUCAGCUUGUUGGGGGGGUAAUGGCCUACCAAGGCGUCGGCGGGUAGCCGGCCUGAGAGGGUGUACGGCGACAUUGGGACUGAGUUGCGGCCCAGGCUCCUACGGGAGGCAGCAGUGGGAAAUAUUGAACAAUCGGCGGAGGCCUGAUGCAGCAGGGCCGCGUGGGGGAUGACGGCUUUCGGGUUGUGAACUCCUUUCGACGGAGACGCGGUACCUGUAGAAGAAGCACCGGCUAACUACGUGCCAGCAGCCGCGGUAAUAC
rnacentral:rRNA from 1 species